UACGAAGGGGGCUAGCGUUGCUCGGAAUCACUGGGCGUAAAGGGUGCGUAGGCGGGUCUUUAAGUCAGAGGUGAAAUCCUGGAGCUCAACUCCAGAACUGCCUUUGAUACUGAGGAUCUUGAGUUCGGGAGAGGUGAGUGGAACUGCGAGUGUAGAGGUGAAAUUCGUAGAUAUUGGGAAGAACACCGGUGGCGAAGGCGGCGACCUGGUCCGAUACUGACGCUGAGGCGCGAAAGCGUGGGGAGCAAACAGG
rnacentral:rRNA from 1 species